rfam:Papio anubis isolate 1X1155 chromosome 18, whole genome shotgun sequence.
GCCGGGUGUGUUGGCACGCGCCUGUAGUCCCAGCUACUCGGGAGGCUGAGGCAUGAGAAUCGCUUGAGCCUGGGAGGCAGGGGUUGCAGUGAGCUGAGAUCGCACCACUGCACUCCAGCUUGGGCUACAGAGUGAGACUCUGUCUCAA